UAUGUGUACACGUAGAGUGAAGAAUACAAUUAGUGAAAAUGAUAACAUAUAUUCUUAUUUCUAUUCUUAUUCUUCUUUUCAUCAACAAAUAUAUGUUCAAGCCUAAAGGUUUUCCACCUGGCCCUGGCAGAAUACCUCUUUUUGGUUCCUUGCUCUUCAUACCAUUGAUUCCUGGUGUGUUUUCAAUGGGAGCAGAUUGGUUCAUCACAAGAUACGGAAAAUUGGUAAUUUUAAAUCUUUAAGAAUUUAAUAAGUUAAAAUGGUCAAAAU